GAUGAACGCUGGCGGCGUGCCUAAUACAUGCAAGUCGAGCGAACAGACGAGGAGCUUGCUCCUCUGACGUUAGCGGCGGACGGGUGAGUAACACGUGGAUAACCUACCUAUAAGACUGGGAUAACUUCGGGAAACCGGAGCGAAUACCGGAUAAUAUAUUGAACCGCAUGGUUCAAUAGUGAAAGACGGUUUUGCUGUCACUUAUAGAUGGAUCCGCGCCGCAUUAGCUAGUUGGUAAGGUAACGGCUUACCAAGGCAACGAUGCGUAGCCGACCUGAGAGGGUGAUCGGCCACACUGGAACUGAGACACGGUCCAGACUCCUACGGGAGGCAGCAGUAGGGAAUCUUCCGCAAUGGGCGAAAGCCUGACGGAGCAACGCCGCGUGAGUGAUGAAGGUCUUCGGGUCGUAAAACUCUGUUAUUAGGGAAGAACAAAUGUGUAAGUAACUAUGCACGUCUUGACGGUACCUAAUCAGAAAGCCACGGCUAACUACGUG
rnacentral:rRNA from 1 species